rnacentral:rRNA from 1 species
AUUGAACGCUGGCGGCAUGCCUUACACAUGCAAGUCGAACGGCAGCAUGAUCUAGCUUGCUAGAUUGCUUGCGCGUGGCGAACGGGUGAGUAAUACAUCGAACCGUGCUCUGUAGUUGGGGUUACCUCGUCGAAAGAUUAGCUAAUCCCGCAUACGACCUGAGGGUGAAAGUGGGGGACCGCAAGGCCUCUUGCUAUAGGAGCGUCCGUGGUCGGAUUAGCUAGUUGGUGAGGUAAAGGCUCACCAAUGCCACGAUCAGUAGCUGGUCUGAGAGGACGAUCAGCCACACUGGAACUGAGACACGGCCCAGACUCCUACGGGAGGCAGCAGUAGGGAAUUUUGGACAAUGGGCGAAAGCCUGAUCCAGCAAUGCCGCGUGUGUGAAGAAGGCCUUCGGGUUGUAAAGCACUUUUGUCCGGAAAGAAAAGGCUCUGGUUAAUACCUGGGGUCGAUGACGGUACCGGAAGAAUAAGGACCGGCUAACUACGUG